UCGAGAAUUUUUCUCAAUGGGGGAAACCCUGAAGGAGCGACGCCGCGUGAAGGAUGAAGGUCUUCGGAUUGUAAACUUCUGUCAUUAGGGAACAAAUCUUCCGCGUAACUGCCGGAAGUCUGAUAGUACCUGAAGAGGAAGAGACGGCUAACUCUGUGCCAGCAGCCGCGGUAAUACAGAGGUCUCAACCGUUGUUCGGAAUUACUGGGCGUAAAGCGCGUGUAGGCGGCUCUUCAAGUCAGGCGUGAAAGCCCCAGGCUCAACCUGGGAAAUGCGUUUGAUACUGUCGAGCUAGAGUGUGGAAGGGGCGAUUGGAAUUCCGUGUGUAGCGGUGAAAUGCGUAGAUAUACGGAGGAACACCAGAGGCGAAGGCGGAUCGCUGGGCCAACACUGACGCUGAGACGCGAAAGCUAGGGUAGCAAACGGGAUUAGAUACCCUAGUAGUCCCUG
rnacentral:rRNA from 1 species